rnacentral:rRNA from 1 species
GAUGAACGCUGGCGGCGUGCCUAAUACAUGCAAGUCGAGCGAACGGAUGAGAAGCUUGCUUUUCUGAUGUUAGCGGCGGACGGGUGAGUAAAACGUGGAUAACCUACCUAUAAGACUGGGAUAACUUCGGGAAACCGGAGCUAAUACCGGAUAAUAUUUUGAACCGCAUGGUUCAAAAGUGACAGACGGUCUUGCUGUCACUUAUAGAUGGAUCCGCGCUGCAUUAGCUAGUUGGUAAGGUAACGGCUUACCAAGGCAACGAUGCAUAGCCGACCUGAGAGGGUGAUCGGCCACACUGGAACUGAGACACGGUCCAGACUCCUACGGGAGGCAGCAGUAGGGAAUCUUCCGCAAUGGGCGAAAGCCUGACGGAGCAACGCCGCGUGAGUGAUGAAGGUCUUCGGAUCGUAAAACUCUGUUAUUAGGGAAGAACAUAUGUGUAAGUAACUGUGCACAUCUUGACGGUACCUAAUCAGAAAGCCACGGCUAACUACGUG